CAAAGCCGUAUAUUCAAAUUUCGCCUACCGUUGAAACUAUAAAUUUGUAAAGCGGCACGAAGCAGUCAUAAGUUUUCAAUAACUGCUGAAGUGAGCGCGGGAUGUCUUCAGCAUUUUUAUAAACAUCCAAGAGGCAGUCUAUCAAUGUAAAUCUUUGAAGAUUAUAUUGGGGACAGUCAAAGAAAAUGUGAUCAAGAGUUUGGAUGGAUAAAUUACAGAAUUGACAAGUUGGAGAAUCUAAAACACCGAUCCUAAAUAAAUGAGCACCACUACGAGAAUGUUCCAGAUGUAACCGACAAAUUAAAACAAGGGAGGAGAGAUUUCGUUUUUAAUGUCGGCUAACCAUUUGCCCUUUGUUUGAACAACUUGUUGCCAAUAAUUCUGAAAGUCUUGCAAGAAUGUACCUUUAAAAUGAGACAGUGCAUCUGUGUGUGGUAUGGGAAUGUUCAAAGCAGGACAUUUAAGGAUAGAAGAAUGGAUGAUAAUUGUUCUAAAUCAACAAUAUUAAAUGCUCCUACAACAUCCAAAAAAACACCAGCUAAUAUCUUAUUGUCAAUCUGGGCACUAUGGAUGUCAAUACAUAAAUGCCGUAGACUCUCACAAGCAGAACAACCGCAUCGAAAUCCAAAUUGAUUAUUAGAUUACUGUGUUGAGGAAUGUUGGAUGGAAUUGAAGAAGAUUCAGUUUCCGACACUACCAUGGAAAAUUUUGUGAUUGUAGGCAAGUGAUAGCUGCCCAAAGAGUCCUGAUGAACUUGCCAUUCACAGCACAGGAAUAAUGAAGAUGAUACUAUUGUUAGAUCUAGUCCAUUUGGUCUCCAAGAAUUAGUACCCACUGUAGUUGGUUGAUCAUUAUUUAAGAGCAUUAAGUCAUUAUCGUCCAUUACAUCCAUGAUGUCUCUACCUCUAGAAUUGGUUCUAUUACAACCCCAAAUGGUAUGGUGAGCAUUAAAAUCACCAGCAAUUGUUAGUGGUUUUGGAAUACUAGGCAACAGUCUAUUAAAUUUAGAUUUGUCAAAGUUAGGUACACUGUUGCCAGGACUAUAAAAGCUAACAAUUGAGAUGUCUUUUUGUUUGUAUUUAAUUUUGAUUGCUACAUUUUGCAAGGAGUUAUCAGAAAAUGUUUCAAACUUUUGAAAAUAAAUGCCAUUUCUAACAAAAAUUGCUACACCAUUGUGAUCAUUACCGCAAUCAUUUCUUAUUAUUGUAUAACCUCUGAUAGAAAACUGUAUAUUUGGUUUAAGCCAAGUUUCUGAUAUAAGUGCUAUGUGUAUGUCCUGCUCGUAAAGAAGGUUUUGAAGCUCAAGUCUGUUACUCAACAGACUUUGAGCAUUCCACUGUACUAUGUUAAGUUUGUGACAGUUGAAUGUGACGUUUUAUUUUUAAUUUCUAUGGUAUCUUUAAUAGCUGAACUAAUUGCGUGUGAGCUAAUGCUUUGAUUCUGUGUUUUAUUUAGUGUAAUGACUUUGAUUAUUGAUUCUGUGAUUAGGUUCAUUGCUGCUGGAUUGGAUAAAAUUAAAUUAGUGAUGUCUU